UAGGGAAUAUUGCACAAUGGGGGAAACCCUGAUGCAGCGACGCCGCGUGAGUGAUGAAGGCCUUCGGGUCGUAAAGCUCUGUCGUAUGGGACUAACAAAAUGAGGGUACCAUGCAAGAAAGGAUCGGCUAACUUCGUGCCAGCAGCCGCGGUAAGACGAGGGAUCCUAGCGUUGUUCGGAAUUAUUGGGCGUAAAGCGGGUGUAGGCGGACUUAUAAGUCAGGUGUGAAAUCCCAGGGCUCAACCCUGGAAGUGCACUUGAUACUGCAAGUCUUGAGUGUGGUAGAGGCUAUUAGAAUUCCUGGUGUAGUGGUGAAAUACGUAGAUAUCAGGAGGAAUACCGGAGGCGAAGGCGGAUAGCUGGGCCAACACUGACGCUGAGACCCGAAAGCGUGGGGAUCAAACAGGAUUAGAUACCCAUGUAGUCCCUGAGCGGGCUGGCAAGGCGCAU
rnacentral:rRNA from 1 species